GUGCUCACUUCGAUAGCACUUACACUAAAACUGGAACAAUACAGAGAUUAGCGUGGUGCCCGUGUAAGGAUGACAUGCAAAUUAUUAAAGCAUUCCAUAUUUUU
rnacentral:snRNA from 1 species